rnacentral:rRNA from 1 species
UACGGAGGAUGCAAGCGUUAUCCGGAAUGAUUGGGCGUAAAGCGUCCGCAGGUGGCUGUGUAAGUCUGCUGUUAAAGAGUGAGGCUCAACCUCAUAAGAGCAGUGGAAACUACAAGGCUAGAGUACGUUCGGGGCAGAGGGAAUUCCUGGUGUAGCGGUGAAAUGCGUAGAGAUCAGGAAGAACACCGGUGGCGAAAGCGCUCUGCUAGGCCGUAACUGACACUGAGGGACGAAAGCUAGGGGAGCGAAUGGG